rnacentral:rRNA from 1 species
GACGAACGCUGGCGGCGCGCUUAACACAUGCAAGUCGAACGGAAAGGCCUGCUUUCCCUUGUGGAUUGCGGGUACUCGAGUGGCGAACGGGUGAGUAACACGUGAGUGAUCUGCCCCCAACUUGGGUAUAAGCCUGGGAAACUGGGUCUAAUUCCCGAUAGGACUGCAGGGUGGUGCCUGUGGUGGAAAACGAUUUUCUAGUGGUUGGGGAUGAGCUCGCGGCCUAUCAGCUUGUUGGUGGGGUAAUGGCCUACCAAGGCGGCGACGGGUAGCCGGCCUGAGAGGGUGGACGGCCACAGUGGGACUGAGAUACGGCCCAGACUCCUACGGGAGGCAGCAGUGGGGAAUAUUGCACAAUGGGCGGAAGCCUGAUGCAGUGACGCCGCGUGGGGGAUGACGGCCUUCGGGUUGUAAACUCCUUUCGACCGCGAGGAAGCCACCUGGUUGGAAGGGUGGUGACGGUAGUGGUAGAAGAAGCACCGGCUAACUACGUG